rnacentral:lncRNA from 1 species
ACCUUCUAAAGAAGUAUGACAAGUAACUGAAAUUGUUUUGUCAAAAACAAUGUGAUUUCAUCUAUAUUUGAUAUUCUGUCAUAUUUUAGAUAUUUUUUUACUUAUUUUUUUAUUUUUAUUUGAUCAUUUUGUCAUAAUUUCAGUUUUACUAUUUUUCGUAGUUGAUGUGCAUUACAUCUAUAUAUCUUUGAUUUUCAGUUAGAUUGAAA